UACAUCUCGGGCUUCCGGCGCUAGUUGGGUCUUUGUGUUUGGUGUUUUAGAGUCGGUGAAGGCUUUAAAGGAAGUAGGUAGCUGGAACCCGGCUGUGGCGGGGUUGAAAAGCCCGGACGUUUGAGAGCUGAGACUUGCCAGUUCCCACAGGCCAAGCCAGGCGUCUGGACCCCGUUCUCUUGGCUCCGACGAAUAUGCUCUCCAUGGGGGUGCUCUUCAAGGCCUACCACAAUGGCUGGCACUAGAGAAGGGCAGAAAAUUGAAGAACAGUGAAGACAAAAGCAAUAAGAUAAUUAAGGCCAUGUGAGACAGCAACAAUAUCAGCUGAAUGUCACGUUUUAUUGAGUUGGUCUUGCUCUGUGGCCCAGGCUAGAGUGCAGUGGCAUGAUCUCGGCUCACCACAGCCUUGACCUCCUGGGCUCAAGCAAUCCUCCGACCUCAGCCUCAAGAUGGACUUGACUUCCUAUAGAGAAGGCAGAAGACAAAGAUAGGCAACUUAAAGACAGAUCAAGAAAAAUGAUCCAGUCUGAAAAACAGAGAGAAAAAGAACUGAAGAAAAAUACACCAAGCCUCAAGGAUCCAUGGAACAAUAUCAAAUAUCUGGAUAUAUUUGCUUGUCUUAUCAUUAUAAGAGAGGGAUUAAAGACCAAUGGGAAGUUGGGUAGGGCUUACAAAUUGUGCUUGUCACUAUCAUGUGCCCUGGGGAGGCCCUAUGUUGGGAUACCUCCAGGAUCACUUUAUUUAGGUGUUUGAGGCUGCUUGGAUUCCCCAGAGAAGCCUCUUUAAAUGUUCCAAUCUCCUGGUAAUGCUCUGGCUGCCACGUCAGGGAGCCCAGUGGGAGAACAGAGCUGGACUCAGCAUCUGACCUUCAAUAGCAGUAGUCACUUAAGCCCUUAUUUUUGGUACAGUACUCACAUCCUCAACGAUGCUGGUUUCCUCAGUCCACAGACCUUUAUUUUAGCAUCUGUAGGUACUAAUGCCUCUUCUUGGAGACAAGGGAGGGGCAGUUGCUAAUAAGUGUGGAGUGGGUGAGGGGAUCUCAGGAUCUAGCUGCAUCUCAAACUGCUUUCACCCAGCUCUCAUUAUUUUGGACCUCCUUUCACUCCCAAUUCCAGAGAUGCCUGGUUCUGUCAGUUUCUGUGCCUUUUUAGGAUACUGUGAUGGUUAAUAUGUGUCAAAUUGACUGGGCCAAGUGCCCAGAUAUUUGGACAAACAUUAUUCUGGGUGUUUCUGUGAGGGUGUUUUUGGAUGAAAUUAGCAUUUAGGUGGGAUCUGGUGGUUCAUGCCUGUAAUCCCAGCAUUUUGGGAGGCCAAGGUGGGAGGAUUACUUGAGGCCCAGGUUUUGAGACCAACCUGGGCAACAUUGCAAGACCCUGUCUCUACAAAAACAAAAUAAAAAAGAAAUUCACAUUUAAA